GACGAACGCUGGCGGCGUGCCUAAUACAUGCAAGUAGAACGCUGAAGGAGGAGCUUGCUUCUCUGGAUGAGUUGCGAACGGGUGAGUAACGCGUAGGUAACCUGCCUGUUAGCGGGGGAUAACUAUUGGAAACGAUAGCUAAUACCGCAUAAUAGUAGAUGUUGCAUGACAUUUGCUUAAAAGGUGCAAUUGCAUCACUACCAGAUGGACCUGCGUUGUAUUAGCUAGUUGGUGGGGUAACGGCUCACCAACGCGACGAUACAUAGCCGACCUGAGAGGGGGAUCGGCCACCAUGGGACUGAGACAAGGCACAGGCUUCUACGGGAGGCAGCAGUAGGGAAACUUCCGCAAUGGACGGAAGUCUGACCGAGCAACGCGGCGUGAGUGAAGAAGGUUUUCGGAUCGUAAAGCUCUUUUGUAAGAGAAGAACGAGAGUGAGAGUGGAAAGUUCACACUGUGACGGUAUCUUACCAGAAAGCGACGGCUAACUACGUG
rnacentral:rRNA from 1 species